CUGAGGUUAUCACCCUGUAUCCCACUCUGAAGUUAUCACCCUGUAUCCCACUGUGUUAACCCCACUCUGAGGUUAUCACCCUGUAUCCCACUGUGUUAACCCCACUCUGAGGUUAUCACCCUGUAUCCCACUGUUAACCCCACUCUGAGGUUAUCACCCUGUAUCCCACUCUGAGGUUAUCACCCUGUAUCCCACUCUGAGGUUAUCACCCUGUAUCCCACUCUGAGGUUAUCACCCUGUAUCCCACUCUGAGGUUAUCACCCUGUAUCCCACUCUGAGGUUAUCACCCUGUAUCCCACUGUUUUAACCAGCAGCAGACCACCCUGUACCCCACUGAGGUUAUCACCCUGUAUCCCACUGUGUUAACCAGCAGCAGACCACCCUGUAUCCCACUGUUUUAACCAGCAGCAGACCACCCUGUAUCCCACUGUGUUAACCAGCAGCAGACCACCCUGUACCCCACUGAGGUUAUCACCCUGUAUCCCACUGUUUUAACCAGCAGCAGAUCACCCUGUAUCCCACUGUUAACCCCACUCUGAGGUUAUCACCCUGUAUCCCACUGUUUUAACCAGCAGCAGACCACCCUGUAUCCCACUGUUAACC